UAUCUGAUAUAUUUCGAGAUGUUAAUUAGUAUAAAUAGUUUUAGCAGAAAUUGUUGUCCGUUUAUAGGUAUAAAUUAACUGACAUUAUUUAAAUUUUGAUUAUAGUGUGUCAACAACAAACGGCUGAAGCUUCGCAUAGUUUCUGUGGAAAUGACGAACAAAUUCUGCUGUAAUUGCGAACAAGGAUCUGUUAGUUGGUACAGCAUCACAUAUUGAUAAUUCAAUUAUGGGAGAUAUGCCAUCCAAUACUGUAUCAAGAAGAGCCAAGAGAAUGUUGAGACAAUGUGAUCGCGCUGAAAAUUAUGCUUCAACCAAUGUGUUCCUUACUAGCGAUGAAUCUCACCGAGUCACAUCACGGAACUCAAAGAGGUGGAAAGCUGGUAUUAUACUAUAUAUGAAGCGUCAGUUCACUGUUACACUGUUCACAAGAGGGGUUAGAAAAGUCGCUUCUGUCCUUACUGUUCGAGUGUGAUAUCGAGAUGGUGGAAAAGUCGUUUUCACCCUUGGUCUUCUUGCAUGAUCUGGAUAGAGGAAAAGCUUGGUAUUACAGAAUCGUCAAAUUUGCAAGUCGGCAACACCAAAAAAAUAAAAGCUUGGUAAGGUAUUUAUGGACGGGAAAUGAAGGAAGAGAAGAUGAACAAAGACGGGGGAGAUCAUGGUGAUCGUAAAGUGGUCGGAAGGUUUUCUUGAUUCUAUGUGAAAGGGUGUAUGCGUGAUUUGGGUGCCACUGUUCUUCUGUGUAUCGUUGACAAUCUGUUUAACAUUGUAUUCUUCUCUAGAGUUCUGGAACAGUUUGCACUUAGAUUUUUGUAAUCUUUCAAAUUCAGUUAUGGCACUUGAUAUGCGGUCCAGAAGAGCAAAGAGAUUAUUAGAAGAGCAUGAUGGUGAGAAUUGUAAUGGUGAAGAAGAAGUGCAAGCAAUGGACAAUUGUCACAGACUUUGUCCGCUGAUAGCUGAAACUGGAAAUAUUGGUUUUGCUAUGCAAGCAAUGCAUCAGAGUAAAUCAAUGAAAUCAAGAAAUGUGGCUCAGUCUCUGGUGGCAGAGAAGAAUUAUACUUCUGAACAUUUGAGGAAACGAUUUCGAAGUACUCAGCGAAAUGGUGCUCUGAUGCUCACUGAAAAGUCAGCAAAUAAUACAAAUUUGGAUGUUGAUAAUACAGGUUAAGAGACAAGUUCUAC